rnacentral:antisense_RNA from 1 species
UUCAGUACGACAUUGCUCACAUUGCUUCCAGUAUGACUUGCCCGCACAUCGUGCGGGCUUUUUUU